rnacentral:rRNA from 1 species
UAUCCCCCCCCUGUGUGCCCCUUGCCCUCCCCCACGACCUGCACAACGCGAAGAACCUUACCAAGGCUUGACAUGCAUCUCUAAGCGCGUGAAAGCGCGUGACCCUUCGGGGGAAUUUGCACAGGUGCUGCAUGGCCGUCGUCAGCUCGUGUCGUGAGAUGUUGGGUUAAGUCCCGCAACGAGCGCAACCCCUGUGAUCAGUUGCCAGCGCGUGAAGGCGGGGACUCUGGUCAGACUGCCCAGAUCAACUGGGAGGAAGGUGGGGACGACGUCAGGUCAGUAUGGCCCUUACGCCUUGGGCUGCACACGUACUACAAUGCCCAGCACAAUGAGAACCGAGACCGCGAGGUGGAGGAAAUCUAAGAAAACUCGGGCCCAGUUCGGAUUGGAGGCUGCAACUCGCCUCCAUGAAGCCGGAAUCGCUAGUAAUGGCGCAUCAGCUACGGCGCCGUGAAUACGUUCCCGGGUCUUGUACACACCG